GAUGAACGCUGGCGGCGUGCCUAAUACAUGCAAGUCGAGCGAACGGACGAGAAGCUUGCUCCUCUGACGUUAGCGGCGGACGGGUGAGUAACACGUGGAUAACCUACCUAUAAGACUGGGAUAACUUCGGGAAACCGGAGCUAAUACCGGAUAAUAUUUUGAACCGCAUGGUUCAAUAGUGAAAGACGGUUUUGCUGUCACUUAUAGAUGGAUCCGCGCUGCAUUAGCUAGUUGGUAAGGUAACGGCUUACCAAGGCAACGAUGCGUAGCCGACCUGAGAGGGUGAUCGGCCACACUGGAACUGAGACACGGGCCAGACUCCUACGGGAGGCAGCAGUAGGGGAUCUUCCGCAAUGGGGGAAAGCCUGACGGAGCAACGCCGCGUGAGGGAUGAAGGUCUUCGGAUCGUAAAACUCUGUUAUUAGGGAAGAACAAAUGUGUAAGUAACUAUGCACGUCUUGACGGUACCUAAUUAGAAAGCCACGGCUAACUACGUG
rnacentral:rRNA from 1 species